AGUUAUGAUGAUAUGUUUUAUUUCAUAUACAAAAAGGUAAAUGAUGUAUCAAAAAACAUUACAAUAUUUUUAAAAUAGUCUUUCACCCCUAUCUGAAC